UAGUAAGAGUUAUUUGCUUGAAACUUAAAGAAUCUGGCAGUAUUUUAAUCUAGUUAGAGGAACCUGUUUAUUAAUUGAUACUCCACGAUUAAUUUUACUUUAAUUAUUAAAUUUGUAUAUCAUUGUUAUAAAAAUUUUUUUUACAAAAAAAAAUUUAAUUAUUUUUAUUAAAAUUUAUAUCAAAUCAAGAUGCAGUUUAUAUUAAAGAAUUUAAUGGGUUAUCAUGAAAAAAUUUAUGGAAAUGAUAUGAAAUUAAAUUUAUAAAGUAGAUUUAUAAGUAAUUUAAAUAAUUUUAUUUAAAUGAUUUAAGUUCUAAAAUAUGUACAUAUUGCCCGUCAUUUUCAUUUU
rnacentral:rRNA from 1 species